rnacentral:rRNA from 1 species
UACGGGGGGGGCAAGCGUUGUUCGGAAUUACUGGGCGUAAAGGGCUCGUAGGUGGCCAACUAAGUCGCACGUGAAAUCCCUCGGCUUAACCAGGGAACUGCGUGUGAUACUGGAUGGCUUGAGUUUGGGAGAGGGAUGCGGAAUUCCAGGUGUAGCGGUGAAAUGCGUAGAUAUCUGGAGGAACACCGGUGGCGAAGGCGGCAUCCUGGACCAAUACUGGCGCUGAGGAGCGAAAGCCAGGGGAGCAAACGGG